GGGGUUGUAGCUCAGUGGAAGAGCACUUGCCUAAUAUGUGUGAGGCACUGGGUUCGAGUCUCAGCACCA
rfam:Ictidomys tridecemlineatus contig113162, whole genome shotgun sequence.